rnacentral:lncRNA from 1 species
GGACCUGUGGGAAUGAGGUUGAAGGUGCAUAGUGGCGGGGGGUUUUAAGGGCGGCGAUGGACGGAGACAGGUUAUGAUGUGAGAGAACGAGCUAGGGAGAGGGCCCAGAGAUAGGUUGGGAGUAGGGUGGGGGAAACAGUGAUCUAAAGGGACAAGAGGCAGGGGCUUGGAGGAGCAGGGCCGUAAGAAAGAACGCGGCUAACGGGAUGAGAAUGAAGGCGCCAACACACUGCCAAGAUGGAGUGGGAAAAAACUAGAGAGGGAUGAGGCGGAGGGCAAAGGAUCGGAGAGAGGGGAUGAGGAUGGCUAGGGAAGAACGGCAGAAGUUCGGCCCAGAAUAAAGAACAGGGUCAGGACAGAAGACGUGUUUGGAGAGAAGACAGACUUGAGUGGAGGGGAAUGGAGGUGCACUGAGCGGGGAAACCUCCUGGGCUGCUGGAAGGUGGGGACAGGUGGGAGUCUGGCAGAUAACUGCUCACCGUAGAGUCCUUAAAGGACGUGCCCGGAAGAAAGGGCAAGCCAUGCACGGGAUUGGACACCAUUGCAGCCGGUACCACCGCCGCCACCUAGGUCCUGCUUCGUCCUCUCCGGUUGCCCAGGCGACAAGCAGUGUUCGCGGGCACCUCCAGGAUCCAUGGUAACGCUAAACAUCCGGAACUCCCACGAGCGGAAGGCGGGGCCAGGAGGCGCAGGCAUCACAGGAGGUUUGCGCGUGCGCCAUCCGCAGGACUCCGCGUUCUCGCGAUCUCUUUUUACUUCUUUGGCUCCUCCGCUGGACUGUAAG